GGCGAAAAAAUGAACUGGGAAGUCAACUGGUACCAGUUCGUUCCCAGUUGCCUCCAACUGGUCAUGAACUGGAACCAAGUGGGAUCAAACUGGCGGCAACUGGAAACUAAAGUGGUACCAGUUCAAGCUGGGCUGGUGGCAACUGGAAAGUGAAGUGGUACCAGUUCAAGCUGGGCUGGUGGCAACUGGACAUGAACUGGUACCAGUUCAAACUGGGCUGGUGGCAAGUGGACAUGAGCUGGUACCAGUUCAAGCUGGGCAGGUGGCAACUGGCAAGUGAAGUGGUACCAGUUCAAACUGGGCUGGUGGCAACUGGACAUGAACUGGUACCAGUUCAAACUGGGCUGGAGGCAACUGGACAUGACCUGGUACCAGUUGAAGGUGGGGGUGGCAACUGGAAAGUGAAGUGGUGCGCCAGUUCAAACUGGGCUGGUGGCAACUGGACAUGAACUGGUACCAGUUCAAACUGGGCUGGAGGCAACUGGACAUGACCUGGUACCAGUUGAAGGUGGGGGUCGCAACUGGAAAGUGAAGUGGUGCGCCAGUUCAAACUGGGCUGGUGGCAACUGGACAUAAACUGGUACCAGUUCAAACUGGGCUGGAGGCAACUGGACAUGACCUGGUACCAGUUCAAGCUGGGCAGGUGGCAACUGGAAAGUGAAGUGGUGCCAGUUCAAGCUCGACCAGCUGACAUGUUUGGGAGAAGUUUCGGUUUGGGGGUUCCGGGAUAGGUUUGCAAUAACAUAUAUGAAGAUUACGAAAGAAAGGUUGGGGGGACGAUCGGAAAGCAACUUUAUAGUAAAAAAAUCAUAUUUCUAUUUUUUUUUUGAAGGUGCGCUAAUGUUAACAAAAGCUAAUUUGGAAUUAUUAUGUUUGCAUAUUUUGCGCGUUCCUGCUCCCCUGAUGAAUGACGCGUUUGAACAAGAUGUAACGGUCGCUUGCUGCUUCAAGAUGCAGCGUUCGCGCUUGUCUGCCGUGUUUUGACUUUUCGCGUUCGUCUCAGCAUGUCCCAAGUGACAUUUUUGCUCUUAAUGUUAUUAGCGUGACAUGCGACAAUAUAAAUUACAGUGAGCGUCAUCGGCUUCAGUACGACCAGACAGGUGUCAUGCGAUUGCGGCUCUGUUGCAGCUGCGAAGACUGCUUCAUCAUCCUUCACACGGAAAACACGGGUUGCUCUAGAAUCCGCAUAGCUCACCAGAGUACGCGUGGCGUGGAUCGGAAAAGCAUGACGACUGCGAAGCAAUAUGUCGGACUCCACAAGCGCCUUCUGUAACGGGGGAUACACAGGAAAGCUCUAUACGUAGAAAACCAACUGAUGACAUGACUUCCACGGCUGCCCGGAAUGCUUCCUGUUUUCCUCAACCGUUUCUGUAAAGUCAGUGAGAAACUGCAUCGUGAAAUACAAAAUGUCUGUUUCAGAAGUGCACAAUAAAAUAAUUCAUGUUUAUUUCA